ensembl:lncRNA
CUGUGAGUGGCACUAAAGAUUUCAAAUCGGGCCCCCAAAUUGAUAUGAGGGUGUCUUUCUUGCGGGUUUGAAAUGUUUGGUUUCAGGUCCUAUGCUGCCACCUGCUGCCAAACCAUAACCUUGAAAUGCGUAGUAGCGUAGUAGUUUAGGCAAUCAGAUAUUUUAUGAUGAUUGAAUGUGGAAAUGUGGAAUAUUAUACUUUGCAAUGUUCAUAUGCACAUGCAUAUGAACGCAUGCAUUCAUAUGUGUGAUUCACUGAUGUCCAACUCAGGUUGGUUUAAUCCUCACACGGUCACAUCACACCUGGUGCAAUUUUCUGUAUCAGUAGCAUGCAUACGCAAUAAUGCAAAGCAUCAGUGUUUUGUGAUAUUUUUGUUUCAAAGAUCUGGGGUAUCCUGUAGGCUGGUUUUUUAUUAAAACACACACAAAUUACUGUGAGGUCACAAUGCGCUCAAUGAUAGGUUCGGGAAGCUGGACUCGUCAUAAUGCCUCGUGUCAAUCAAGUACCUGCUCAAGUUCUAAAGUUUUCAUUCGCCCUUCGACGCCAAGUAGAGAGACUCAUAGAGAGAUUAUCGAACAGCGACGAUGGACAGGAAGACAUUGUUUUCUUUGUGGGCUCAACUGACCCCUGCUUCCAUCAUGAUGGCGGACAGGGAGUCCUACACCGAGGUGACCAGGCUCGUCCCCGCCCCCCCUACUGAGGCCAAGCCCCCGGGCCUUAACCCCCGCUACCCUCGUGGGGCUAGGCUGCCCUGGUUGGCUGCCCCAGCUGGUGGCAGCAACGAGAGGGUCGUCCUCCGCCCCCCGACUGAGGCCAAGCCCCCGGGCCUUAACCCCCGCUACCCUCGUGGGGCUAGGCUGCCCCGAUUGGCUGUGGCUGAGGAGGCUGACGGCCAGGAAGCCUGGAUCACGGCGGCCCACUCCGACACCGUGUCCCUCUGUGCACGGGCUCUGGGUGCCGUCUCGAGCCAGGAGACUUCCCCGGGCCGAACCCCCCCAGAAGUGGCUGACCCUGACCACCAUCGUGGGGCUAGGCUGCCCCGGUUGGCUGCCCCAGCCGCUGGCCCCAACGAGAGGAUCGUCCUCCGCCCCCCUACUGAGGCCAAGCCCCCGGGCCUUAACCCCUGCUACCCUCGUGGGUCUAGGCUGCCCCGGUUGGCUGUGGCUGAGGAGGCUGACGGCCAGGAAGCCUGGAUCC